AUGACUUAGAGCAUGCGCACUGCGUUCGGGACGCAGGGGUCGCAGGUUCGAAUCCUGCCACUCCGACCA
rnacentral:tRNA from 1 species